rnacentral:rRNA from 1 species
GGCGUAAAGGGCUCGUAGGUGGUUUGUCGCGUCGUCUGUGAAAUUCCGGGGCUUAACUCCGGGCGUGCAGGCGAUACGGGCAUAACUUGAGUACUGUAGGGGUAACUGGAAUUCCUGGUGUAGCGGUGAAAUGCGCAGAUAUCAGGAGGAACACCGAUGGCGAAGGCAGGUUACUGGGCAGUUACUGACGCUGAGGAGCGAAAGCAUGGGUAGCGAACAGGAUUAGAUACCCUGGUAGUCCAUGCCGUAAACGGUGGGCGCUAGGUGUGAGGGUCUUUUCACGACUUUCGUGCCGUAGCUAACGCAUUAAGCGCCCCGCCUGGGGAGUACGGCCGCAAGGCUAAAACUCAAAGGAAUUGACGGGGGCCCGCACAAGCGGCGGAGCAUGUGGAUUAAUUCGAUGCAACGCGAAGAACCUUACCUGGGCUUGACAUACACCGGAUCGGGCUAGAGAUAGUCUUUCCCUUUGUGGCUGGUGUACAGGUGGUGCAUGGUUGUCGUCAGCUCGUGUCGUGAGAUGUUGGGUUAAGUCCCGCAACGAGCGCAACCCUUGUCUUAUGUUGCCAGCAUUUGGUUGGGGACUCAUGAGAGACUGCCGGGGUCAACUCGGAGGAAGGU